GCCAGUGUGGUGUAGUGGUUUGAGUGUUGGACUAGGAUGCUAGAGACCAGGGUUCAAAUCCCCACUCAGCCA